CCUACGGGAGGCUGCAGUGAGGAAUAUUGGUCAAUGGACGAGAGUCUGAACCAGCCAAGUAGCGUGAAGGAUGACUGCCCUAUGGGUUGUAAACUUCUUUUAUAUGGGAAUAAAAUGUUCCACGUGUGGGAUUUUGUAUGUACCAUAUGAAUAAGGAUCGGCUAACUCCGUGCCAGCAGCCGCGGUAAUACGGAGGAUCCGAGCGUUAUCCGGAUUUAUUGGGUUUAAAGGGAGCGUAGGUGGAUUGUUAAGUCAGUUGUGAAAGUUUGCGGCUCAACCGUAAAAUUGCAGUUGAAACUGGCAGUCUUGAGUACAGUAGAGGUGGGCGGAAGUCGUGGUGUAGCGGUGAAAUGCUUAGAUAUCACGAAGAACUCCGAUUGCGAAGGCAGUUCACUGGACUGCAACUGACACUGAGGCUCGAAAGUGUGGGUAUCAAACAGGAGUAGAUACCCGGGUAGUC
rnacentral:rRNA from 1 species